GAUCCCUUUCCUCAUCGGCACGCAACCGUUGGGCAAAACCGAUCUCGCCGAGGAAGCUCCAGCAGCCGCCAUUUCUCCGGUCAUUUCCAUCGCCGUAAGAACACCGCAGCCGCGCCACUUGCUCCUGACUUGUUCUCGUGGCUAAAAACGCAGCCACGCGAGAGGAAUAAGCUCGUCCGCCGCCGCCGGAGCAGGCCGGAGUUCGCAAUUCCGCCGUCGCCUACGGAGGGAGCCCCCACAGUCGUUUGAUCCACCACCGUCCCCUCCGUUCGACGCCGCAUCCUCCUACCAUCUCGCCUUCGCCGGAGACCCGCCGGAGAAGCUCCGCCGCCUACGCCCGAACCGCCGUCAUCUUCCCCUCUUUGCUGGUGAGCACACGCGCGCACAGAAACACCUGAGCCAAUCGGGCGCUAACACUUGGCACUGCUACAGCAGCUGCAACAGUAUACGCUACAGUAUUUCCAGAACAGUAUUUUCCUUUUGUUUUUUUAGAUUUCAACUAAACUUCCUUUAGCCAUAUCUUUUAGUCUACAUAUCCAAUUUAGGUGUUUCUUUUUCCUAUGCACUCUCAAUGACCAGGAGAAUAUGACAGAACCAAAAUUUCACAUGUUUGCAUUUUUCAAAAUUGAAUUCAUUCAAAUUUGAGUUAACCUUCUGGAGGCCAUAACUUUCAAACCGUUUAACGAAACUUAGUGUUUCUUUUUGCGUUGUGUUACUAGUGCAUUGUAGUUGAUUUGUACAGACUUUUAUGCUAUUGUUCUUGAAUUUUAGAAUGAUUUUUCUUGCUAUUGGUUUUAUUUUGGCUUUAUUUGAGUUUCAGUGAUUGAUUUGUUGAUUGUGUGAAACGUGUAGAUUGUCCGGAAUGUGACGCCAGCUAUUGUCAGGAGUGUGAAUUUCUGAACCAGAACCAAGGCAAGUUACACGUUGAUCAUCCUUUACCUAUUGUUUUCAUAUGCAUGUAGGCUAUAUCAUAUUAUGAAUAUAUGCAUGUGUAGGAAUACUAUAUUAUUGUGCUAUGUUAUUGAGCUAUCUCCUGUCAAUGCAGAUCGUGGUAGUUGUAGUUUUGCUAUGAUUUGUAGACGGGGGUGGUUCGUGUAUACACUGAGUUUGUGUGAGGAUUAUUUGUAUAACUGAAUGAGUAGUAAUUAAGGAUAUAAUUCACCACUGGGCGGAAGUGGUAUUGUUUGGUGUUGAGGGAAGGCAUCACGGGGUCUUGCACCUUUUCUAAGGCCAUGCGCCCAUGAGAGUGGACCCUAAGUGGAAUGCCGCCCAGGUUAAAAAAGACCAGACAAACUUAGUGACUAGUAGCUUCUAUGUGCGGCCACUGGCUAUAUGGGAUCUGGCUUAGUUGAUCAGUUGUUGGAACCCUUGCCCAGACAGUGUCGACAGAUGUAGCGUAUAUAGCGGGAUUUGGCCGCCAGGUGGUUAAGGGUACCUCUUCUGAAAGACUUCUUCUCAAUCUUCGGAUUGGGUCCAGUGGGUAAAGCGUACAAAACUCUGCAGAGUAUUAAAUACUAAUCAUGAUUAGCCGUGUCCCUGGUUAUUGACAAAUUUGAGCAACUAUGCCAUUACAGUUGUUGGACGAUCGUGACAGAUGUGACACUUAAUAAAUUUGUGGGAAACUUAGUAAUGCGUAGGUUGGGGUUGGACUUGCCAAUUCAACCUUGUGUAUUAAAUUGUAGUAACAAAUAAAUUAAAUUAAAAUAUGACUAUUAGGUAGUUAUGAGGACAAAAUCAGCUUUCUGCAAAAAUUAACCCUCAAGCCUUCCUUUCGUUAUACUAUGCAUAUACAUGUAGGUCGGUUUUGUUAUUACUCCUAUGUAACUUGCCAAUACAGUCAAAGUAUUGACCUAUAUGGAUGCAACGUCUCAUGUUGCAGGAUAUUCAGACAAAGAGUAAGGUACCAUUAGGGUCGCGAGUCUGCACUCAGCAUCGCCAGUGGGCUAUGAUGGGACUCAUCGUUAUUUUCUGCUACUUUUCCGCUGUUUGAUUGAAUAAAGCUAGCCAUGUGCUAUGCAGAUUGUUUUAUUUUAUACAUUCUGGAUCAUAUGUUGUAAUAAAUGAUGCACUUGCUAUUCUGUUAUUCAUCUAUACUGUGUGUGCUAGCGAGUUUGAUCCAGGGACUAGCACGGUGAGCACAGAGAUUCAAAUCCUUCGAGGUUUGGUCGUUAUAAUACUAUCUUAUUGUUUGUUGUUUG
rnacentral:lncRNA from 1 species